rnacentral:rRNA from 1 species
GACGAACGCUGGCGGCGUGCUUAACACAUGCAAGUCGAACGGAAAGGCCCUGCUUUUGUGGGGUGCUCGAGUGGCGAACGGGUGAGUAACACGUGAGUAACCUUCCCUUUACUUUGGGAUAACUUCAGGAAACUGGUGCUAAUACCUGAUAGGAGCUCCUGCUGCAUGGUGGGGUUUGGAAAGUUUCGGCGGUUGGGGAUCGACUCGCGGCUUAUUAGCUUGUUGGUGGGGUAGUGGCUUACCAAGGCUUUGACGGGUAGCCGGCCUGAGAGGGUGACCGGCCACAUUGGGACUGAGAGACGGCCCAGACUCCUACGGGAGGCAGCAGUGGGGAAUAUUGCACAAUGGGCGGAAGCCUGAUGAAGCAACGCCGCGUGCGGGAUGAAGGCCUUCGGGUUGUAAACCGCUUUCGCCUGUGACGAAGCGUGAGUGACGGUAAUGGGUAAAGAAGCACCGGCUAACUACGUG